rnacentral:rRNA from 3 species
UACGAAGGGGGCUAGCGUUGUUCGGAUUUACUGGGCGUAAAGCGCACGUAGGCGGAUCGAUCAGUCAGGGGUGAAAUCCCAGAGCUCAACUCUGGAACUGCCUUUGAUACUGUCGAUCUGGAGUAUGGAAGAGGUGAGUGGAAUUCCGAGUGUAGAGGUGAAAUUCGUAGAUAUUCGGAGGAACACCAGUGGCGAAGGCGGCUCACUGGUCCAUUACUGACGCUGAGGUGCGAAAGCGUGGGGAGCAAACAGG